AACGAACGCUGGCGGCAGGCUUAACACAUGCAAGUCGAACGGGUGUAGCAAUACAUCAGUGGCAGACGGGUGAGUAACACGUGGGAACCUUCCUAGAGGUACGGAACAACUCAGGGAAACUUGAGCUAAUACCGUAUAAGCUCUUGCGAGGAAAGAUUUAUCGCCUUUAGACGGGCCCGCGUAGGAUUAGGUAGUUGGUGGGGUAAUGGCCUACCAAGCCUACGAUCCUUAGCUGAUCUGAGAGGAUGAUCAGCCACACUGGGACUGAGACACGGCCCAGACUCCUACGGGAGGCAGCAGUGGGGAAUCUUGGACAAUGGGCGCAAGCCUGAUCCAGCCAUGCCGCGUGAGUGAAGAAGGCCUUCGGGUUGUAAAGCUCUUUUACCAGGGACGAUAAUGACGGUACCUGGAGAAUAAGCCCCGGCAAACUUCGUGCCAGCCGCCGCCGUAAUAC
rnacentral:rRNA from 1 species